rnacentral:tRNA from 1 species
UAAGAGUUAGUUUAAGGGUGAAUAGAAUUAUUGAUUGUUGAUCAAAGGGUUGUCUCUUAA